AGCGAGUGUCUGGGCGCGUCUUUACGCUACGCCCGCAGCAUCCAGCGACCUCUACAGGCGCACCUGGGGCCCGCCGCGACCGGAAGGAGCGAUAGGUGGAUGCGCCACUUCUAGCGACACAGGACAAGCCCGCUUGUCGACCGUGGGGAUGAUGCCUGCCGUCAGUCCACGUCACAUGCACUCUGGCGACAGGAGCUGCACAUGAUGAACGACAGAAAGGAUAUAACUCACGUGUCUGCAACCUACCCUUGAAGAUUUUCGAGUGACCACUUGACAGCAUGGUACUAGCCCCACGACUUCAUUAACGAUGAAGGCAGUGUGAUUGGAUACCAGAAUGACAUGAACACGCGAGACUAUCUGGAUAUGGCUUGGACGCCUACAAGUAAUUGCUGUCGUCGAGUGUGGCGAGCGUUAAGAAAACGACAGCCUGCAACAGGAAACAAGCUGCAGCAGCUAUCACGACGCACAAGGACUCCGAUCGCAUGGAUACCAGAGAGAAGAAUUCUCGUGCAACCUGGUGAAUGCUGAAGUUUACAAGCGGACUUCUAUCACAGCGACCUACGCAGGCUCUGUUCGCAAAUAUACAGCUUCCCUUUAACAAGCAUUCUUAUUUUGAACACAAGCCUGUGAUAAUAUUUUUAAUAUGUAAUACUUUCAUUUAUUUAGUAUCAACACAGUGCAAAACUGGAUAUAUUUUGUGGUGAUACUUAACCAAAAGCGCCUUAUGUAUGUUACU